AUCUUGUGUUGUUGAGGCUGAGGACUGACUGGGGUUCUGAGACUCCCUGUCCCGGACCGCAGCGUUAAAAGGAUCUGAACAAAGUCUGCUCAAAUCUCCUGCUGUGAACCAGCAGAAUUUUUGAACAGAGACUGUCUCGCUCUGUCACCCAGGCUAGAGUGCAGUGGUGCUAUCAUAACUCACUGGAGCCCUGAUCUAGGCUCAAACCAUCCUCCCACCUCAGCCUCCCAAGUAGCUGGGACUAAGGUUUCUUCACAUAUAAAAAUCUAUUGUAAAAAUACGGAAAAGAAUGGCAGCGGAAACGCAGACACUGAACUUUGGGCCUGAAUGAUGUGUUUGGACCCCGAAUAUGGAAUUCUCAUGGAAUUUUGAGAUCCAUCACAUUGUAGUGUGGCUUCCCCCCCUCCCCUCCUUCCUUUUUCCCCAAAGUUGGUGAUUGAAGAUCCUCUCUUCAGUGGCAUCAAUAAUAAUAAUUACUUUUUCUAUUCAAACCUCGGGCAACCCCUUUGGUAAUAUCAGAAGUAGUAUC
rnacentral:sRNA from 1 species